AGUGAACGCUGGCGGCAGGCCUAACACAUGCAAGUCGAGCGGCAGCGCGGGGGCAACCCUGGCGGCGAGCGGCGGACGGGUGAGGAAUUCGUCGGAAUCUGCCUUUUUGUGGGGGAUAACGUAGGGAAACUUACGCUAAUACCGCAUACGUCCUACGGGAGAAAGUGGGGGACCGCAAGGCCUCACGCAGAAAGAUGAGCCGACGACCGAUUAGCUAGUUGGUGGGGUAAAGGCCCACCAAGGCGACGAUCGGUAGCUGGUCUGAGAGGAUGAUCAGCCACACUGUGACUGAGACACGGCCCAGACUCCUACGGGAGGCAGCAGUGGGGAAUAUUGGACAAUGGGCGCAAGCCUGAUCCAGCCAUGCCGCGUGUGUGAAGAAGGCCUUCGGGUUGUAAAGCACUUUUGUCCGGAAAGAAAUCCCUGGAGCUAAUACCUUCGGGGGAUGACGGUACCGGAAGAAUAAGCACCGGCUAACUUCGUG
rnacentral:rRNA from 1 species